ensembl:misc_RNA 7SK 7SK RNA
GGAUGUUGUACCCUUAAAUGAUGUCUGCACCCCAUUGAUUGCCAGGGUUGAUUCAGCUGAUCUCACUGACUAGGUGGGUGUCCCCUUCCUCGGUCACUGCUCCACGUGUAUGCCCCAUCAAUGAGAAGGCCCUUCUCUGACAGAGGAGGGUCAUUCCUAAGUCAAGGAUGUAUGAGUAGCUCGGCUCCCUGUUAGAAUCUCCAAGUACACUCUCAAUGUCUCAUUAACUCUAGUUUGCAUUGGGGAAAUGGUGAGGUUAUAGAAAAUUUUCAAGGUUGUUGAAUAAGAUAAUGGCAGGUCUCUCUUU